ACUCAAAGGAAUUGACGGGGGCCCGCACAAGCGGUGGAUCAUGUGGUUUAAUUCGAAGCAACGCGAAGAACCUUACCUGGAUUUGACAUCCCUCGACAACUGUAGAAAUACAGCUUUUGUAGCAAUACAACGGGGAGACAGGUGCUGCAUGGCUGUCGUCAGCUCGUGUGGUGACAUGUUGGGUUAAGUCCCGCAACGAGCGCAACCCCUGUCCUUAGUUGCCAUCAUUAAGUUGGGCUCUCUAAGGAGACUGCCGUGGUUAACACGGAGGAAGGUGGGGAUGACGUCAAGUCCUCAUGGCCUUUAUAUCCAGGGCGACACACGUGAUACAAUGGACAUUACAAAGGGAUGCGAACCCGCGAGGGGGAGCCAAUCUCAAAAAGAUGUUCUCAGUUCGGAUUGGAGUCUGCAAUUCGACUCCAUGAAGGUGGAAUCGCUAGUAAUCGCGGAUCAGCACGCCGCGGUGAAUACGUUCCCGGGCCUUGUACACACCGCCCGU
rnacentral:rRNA from 1 species